CACACCCUCCCCAUGGCCAUGGUUGUCACUCAUGAACCCUGUCUCCAUCACUUCCCAGCUGCUCUCUCUUCUCCAGAUGCUGGAUGUGACAGUGUCCCAACUCCUAAACUUACAGCCCAGCCUGGCAGCACAAGUCACCCCAAAGCACCGAGACAUAAAGGAGAGCUGGGCACAGCUCCAACAGGCACUGAGGACAGGGAAAGUUCCAGCACGGGGAGGCAGUUCCCCGGGGGGCAAAGCUGCAGCUCCAAAUGUUGAGCCUCGAGGAGACGAUAGCAGUCAUGGGGCUGUGGGUAAGAAAGCAGCAGCCAAGUGGACAAGAGGACUCGGCAGCAUGGUACUAAAAGAUGUGCUGGAGAAGAUGGCAGAGCACAAGAAAGGAGAGGAAAGCAACCCUGGCUCCCCAGCAGUGGGACAGGCCCCUCAUGGAGGGGACAACAAAAGGAGGAGAGAGGCAGAGGCUGAGUGCGGGCUGCAGCAGCUGGAGACCCAAGUGCAGGAUGUCUGCCAGACUCUGUCCCCAUACAAGGGGAGUAUGGGUAUGGGAGUCCCCUCAUGUCCAGUGGCAAGCCUGGAGGCAGCAAGGAUGCAGCAAAAGCCCCUGUCCCCCAGCUCCAGUACCAGGCUCCUGGAGGAACCAGCACGAGGAAGGACUCCCAGGAGCCCUCGGGUGGAGGCCAUGCUGUGGGAACUGGGAGAGUUAUGGGAGGACCUGCAGAGGAGGCAUCACGAGAAUGGCGUAGUGCUGCAAGAAAUCGAUAAGGUACGUGGUGUCAG
rnacentral:lncRNA from 1 species